AGAAUCAACGCUGGCGGCGUGCCUAACACAUGCAAGUCGCACGAGAAAGGGGAGCAAUCCCUGAGUAAAGUGGCGCACGGGUGAGUAACACGUGAAUAAUCUACCUCCGGGUGGGGAAUAACUGAGAGAAAUCUUAGCUAAUACCGCAUAACACUUACGAGUCAAAGCAGCAAUGCGCUUGGAGAGGAGUUCGCGGCCGAUUAGUUAGUUGGCGGGGUAAUGGCCCACCAAGACGAUGAUCGGU
rnacentral:rRNA from 1 species